UACGUAGGCAGCGAGCGUUGUUCGGGGUUACUGGGUUUAAAGGGUGCGCAGGCGGAUAUGUAAGUCAGUGGUGAAAUCUUUGGGCUUAACCCGAAAAUUGCCAUUGAUACUAUAUAUCUUGAAUGCUGUGGAGGUAAGCGGAAUAUGUCAUGUAGCGGUGAAAUGCUUAGAGAUGACAUAGAACACCUAUUGCGAAGGCAGCUUACUACGCAGAGAUUGACGCUCAUGCACGAAAGCGUGGGGAUCAAACAGG
rnacentral:rRNA from 1 species